UUAACUGAUGCGUUAGAAUAAUACAUUACUUGUAUGUUUGUAGUAUAGUACGGAACCAUAUGUAGCUACUAAUAGCUUGCAUUUGUUACUGGUAGCAAUGGUCGUGGAUGUGGAUUAGGUGUUCCCGCUCAAGGUCGAGGUUUAGGGGGGAGGGAGAGGACGUGGUGCUAGUGGUCAAGGAGGACAGCAGUCUAAUCAGCCUUUAUGCCAUUGUUCUCAUUGUGGAUCUUCAGACAAGGAAGAAGAUUGGUGGAGGGCAUGAAAAGGGUGGCUUAUAUUACUUGAUGUUGAUUUAGUUUCUACUGCUGCGACGGUUACUUGUUGCUUCAAGCAAUAUUUCUCGUUUGGAUUAGCAUUAUCGGUUAGGGAAUUUGUCCCUUUCUAUGCUUUAAUACAUGGUUACUAUGUACAAGUUUAUCUUCCAUUUCGAGUGUGAAGUUUGUGAGUUUGGAAAAUAUCACCAUACUUCCUUUCCUACACGGGAUGUUUCUUGGAGUUUGUCUUUCCUUUUAUUUGUUCACUCUAAUAUUUGGAAUCCUUAUAUCCAAGGUUGGUUCGGGUUUAUGUACUUUGUUGCUUUUGUAGACAAUCUUCACACUUGACUCGGUUGUAUUUAUCGAAAGAUUGUUCAAA